AUGCAUUGGCUUCGUGUGAAGAUCUUCAUGAGCCGCUCUCAAUUUCUACAGGCUGUGAGAAAGAAAGCAGGCGGAGGAUGGGAUCCCACAUAUACAAAGAGAAGUUUCUUCCCAUACUGGAGAUCAGUGUUACAAGAUUGGGUUCCUUUGAAGGUGUAUCCAGCCUAUGCCCUGAGUAACUCAAUAGUCAAUGGAUCUACUCAAACUCCAAAUCAUAAACUUGGUCCAGUCCGGAGAAUCUCGCCACUUACAAGCAAUAAUCAACCGAGAAGGUGCUUUAUAACGGCUGCUAGUGGUGCAAUCAGGCUCUUGAAGGUGCUAAAGUAG
rnacentral:rRNA from 1 species